CGGACGUGAGUAACCUGCCUUGGAGUGGGGAAUAACACAGUGAAAACUGUGCUAAUACCGCAUAAUGCAUUUGGGUCGCAUGAUUCUGAAUGCCAAAGAUUUAUCGCUCUGAGAUGGACUCGCGUCUGAUUAGCUAGUUGGCGGGGUAACGGCCCACCAAGGCGACGACCAGUAGCCGGACUGAGAGGUUGGCCGGCCACAUUGGGACUGAGACACGGCCCAG
rnacentral:rRNA from 1 species